rnacentral:rRNA from 1 species
GAUGAACGCUGGCGGCGUGCCUAAUACAUGCAAGUCGAGCGAACAGACGAGGAGCUUGCUCCUUCGACGUUAGCGGCGGACGGGUGAGUAACACGUAGGUAACCUACCUAUAAGACUGGGAUAACUUCGGGAAGCCGGAGCUAAUACCGGAUAAUAUUUCGAACCGCAUGGUUCGAUAGUGAAAGAUGGCUUUGCUAUCACUUAUAGAUGGACCUGCGCCGUAUUAGCUAGUUGGUAAGGUAACGGCUUACCAAGGCAACGAUACGUAGCCGACCUGAGAGGGUGAUCGGCCACACUGGAACUGAGACACGGUCCAGACUCCUACGGGAGGCAGCAGUAGGGAAUCUUCCGCAAUGGGCGAAAGCCUGACGGAGCAACGCCGCGUGAGUGAUGAAGGUCUUCGGAUCGUAAAACUCUGUUAUUAGGGAAGAACAAACGUGUAAGUAACUGUGCACGUCUUGACGGUACCUAAUCAGAAAGCCACGGCUAACUACGUG